rnacentral:rRNA from 1 species
CACGUAGGGGCGAGCGUUGUCCGGAAUUACUGGGCGUAAAGAGCUCGUAGGUGGUUUGUCGCGUCGUCUGUGAAAUUCCGGGGCUUAACCUCGGGCGUGCAGGCGAUACGGGCAUAACUUGAGUACUGUAGGGGAGACUGGAAUUCCUGGUGUAGCGGUGAAAUGCGCAGAUAUCAGGAGGAACACCGGUGGCGAAGGCGGGUCUCUGGGCAGUAACUGACGCUGAGGAGCGAAAGCAUGGGUAGCGAACAGGAUUAGAUACCCCGGUAGUCCCU